UUUGAAUUUCAAAUUGAAUCAAUUUCAAUUUCCUGUUGAACCAUAGAGUUAAUAUUUUUACUUUGGUUUAAACAUUCAAACUCUCAUUGGAUCAACUUCUGCCCGGACUCGGUUUUAACGUCAAUUAGCUCAUCGCUGGAUUAUUCAAGUGUCAUUCUGAUGAUCAUAUGUGAAAAAUGCUUAGUCUUCGGUCUAUUCUUUUGAGUGUUGAUCACCGCUGAAGAUUUUCUUAAUUUUGAUUAUCAUUAAAAUCUUUUGCCAAUCCAAAAUUGUUAACAUUCAGCAUUCAACAAUGAGUUCUAGAUCAAAAACAUAACAGCUUUUGACUGAGAAGAUUAUUCCAAUUCAGACGCUCGAUGGGGAUCAGUUAAUCGCGGAGUCAUCGUUUGUGACGAUUGUUGUUUAGUCCAUCGUAAUAUGGGACGUGAAGUCUCACAGAUUAAAUCAAUCACGAAAAGUCAAUGGUCUCCUAGUGAACUUCAAAUGGUCAUUGAUCUUUACACUAGUGGAAGCAACUCUAUCUGGGAAUAUACUUUACUCAAUUCGGGAAGUAACUCGUUAACCUCAUCACUAACUCACUCAAUGAGAUCUUCAUUUCGCAAGAAACCCAAUCCAAAGGAUGGACUUUAUCCCGUUAAAAAUGAUUUUAUCAAAGCCAAAUAUCAGAAACUCGCGUUCGUCAAAAAACCAGGACCCAAGGAUGGAAUCUAAGGUGAAAGUGAUGUUAGUGAGGAGCUUCAUUCGAGUGUUCGAAGCUCAAGUCUGAAAACAAGUUUACGUUUACUGAUCGCUGGUGCUGAUCCUAAUUAUCUGCAUCCAACUAAACAAAAUACUCCUUUACAUGUCGCUGCUAAAUCUGGUCAAUUGGCUCAAAUGAAUCUUCUCUUUGCCUAUGGUGCUUAUCUGACAGUAUCGAACCUCCUAAAGAAUUUGACCAACAAACAACUCGCGAACCUGCCAAAAAGUUCACGACUAUCGUGAAUUACUUCGAAUACCCUUCAUGUUCUCCCCAAUUCCAAAUAUUGAGCCGCUUAUUUUUCGUUUCAGAUUCUUGAAAUGUGCUGAGAAUAUUCAAGAAGCAGUUUUUGGUUUGCUUACUUUAUUUCCUGAGCGAUCUUCCAGAGAUGUGUCUCAAUUAUCUCAGCCCUAAGUUGAAAUGAUGAGCUGACGAAAUGAUUGCAUAUUAAGAUAAAUACUAAUAUAUUGAGCUUACAUAUUAAACGAGAUAUUUUUUUAUUUACAUUUAAGGAAUCGGUCGGUAAGUUGGGGCAUAAUUGAACAAUGUUGAUAUUUUUCAUAUAAAAUGUUGACUCUUUCAAGAGAAUUGUGAUAACCUUCUCUUGAUUGAAGAUGUAUGGGAGUUAACAGAGUAUUUUACAUGGUCAUUCAAUUAGUCUCGUCUUAAUUUUCACUUCUUUCUCCGAUCAGGCAAACCCUUUCAUUUAUCUCGCUUUUCAUUAAAUAAUAUUGAAUCGUUGAAAUUUACUCUCAAUUACUGUAAACCCUGUGAUGUCCACAAUUAACCAACGAUUUUCUUAUUUUUCGUCUCCGUGGUCUCAUUUACUUCGUGAAUAAUCAAGUGAUCGAAGAAGGAAUCAUAAAUGGUCUUCAUUGUAUAAAUUGGAAUCUUUUGUUUAUUGGUAUGUUUGUCAUCAAUGAUAAGAAUUCUUUAUCUACCAGAAUAUUUCAAAAUACACCAGAACGUUACUCUGAAAUUGGCAAAUUAAACAGAACAGGAACUUAAAAAGUGAAGAGAAAAGAACCGAUGAUAAAGCUCAUGGUUAAUCGAGUUGAUUAUUGAAUUUGGACAAAAAAUGAACAAUAAAAGAUUAGCCAUUGGCUAUUUGGUCUGCUACGAUAUGAAGCAUCUUGGUGGCUGAUCCAUGGCCUCAACCCAGUCGUCGAUAAAUAUGAUUAAUAAUUGACUUCAGUUAACAAGUUAGAUGGAGCUGCGAACGAAGGAAAGAAAUGAUAAGUUACGAUUCAUCAUGAAAAUAAAUAAAUUCUUGGAACAGGGUUAAGAAGUUCUAAAGAUAAUCGGUAGAAGAUGGUCUCGAAUCUUUAAAUGGAAAUUGUUCAUAUGUGAGCUGCUUUUUAAGAAUUUCACGGUUUAUAUUCCUAGGAUGCGAUCGAAUCGAAAGAUCUAUUAGAAUUCUAUGGAUGUAAUUGAAUCAAACAUAUGAACAAAUGACAUACAAAUUUCUGUGACCUUCGCAGUAAAAAGUUUCUCAGAAAUUAAAACUUUUUAUUCCCGCCUUCGAAUUUCGACUCUACUCGUUCAGAACGAAUUAAUUAUUCGUCUACCUGAUUCUUUAUCAUUGAUUUUGAUUGUACUUUUCUGCCAGGCAAUUAUUCAAUUUUUAUUCGUUUUUUGGUAAAUUGUUUACCGACCUGGUGUUAGAACGGUGGUCGAAAUUCGACAGGAAAGGCUA